GUAAGCUACUAAGAGCAAAUGGUGGAUGCCUUGGCUAGUAGAGGCGAUGAAAGACGUGCCAGGCUGCGAUAAGUCUCGGGGAGCCGUCAAGGGGCUUUGAUCCGGGAAUUUCUGAAUGGGGCAACCCAGUAUAUAGUGAUAUAUACUACCGCAAUGCGGAGCUAACGUUGGGAAUUGAAACAUCUUAGUACCAACAGGAAAAGAAAUCAAAAGAGAUUACGCUAGUAGCGGCGAGCGAACGCGUAAGAGGGCAAACCGUUAGUUUACUAACGGGGUUGUAGGACUGCAACAUAGACUUAAACAAACUAAUAGAAUAACCUGGAAAGGUUGGCCAUAGAGGGUGAUAGCCCCGUAUAUGAAAGUGCGUUUAUACUUAGCAGUAUCCUGAGUAGGGCGGGACACGUGAAAUCCUGUCUGAAGCUGGGGAGACCACUCUCCAACCCUAAAUACUACUACUAGACCGAUAGUGCACAAGUACCGUGAGGGAAAGGUGAAAAGAACUGAGGUGAUCAGAGUGAAAUAGAACCUGAAACCAUUUGCUUACAAUCAUUCAGAGCACGAUUCUUUAUGACGUGUGAUGGACUGCCUUUUGCAUAAUGAGCCUGCGAGUUGUGGUGUCUGGCGAGGUUAAGGAAACCCGGAGCCGUAGCGAAAGCGAGUCUUAAUAGGGCGUAUAGUCAGAUGCUGCAGACCCGAAACGAUGUGAUCUAUCCAUGAGCAGGUUGAAACUGGUGUAAGAGCCAGCGGAGGACCGAACAGACGGCCGUUGAAAAGGCUCCUGAUGACUUGUGGAUAGGGGUGAAAGGCCAAUCAAACAUCGUGAUAGCUGGUUCUCUCCGAAAUAUAUUUAGGUAUAGCGUUGUGUCGUAAUUAUAAGGGGUAGAGCACUGAAUGGGCUAGGGCAUAUACCAAUGUACCAAACCCUAUCAAACUCCGAAUACUUAUAAUGUAAUCACAGCAGUCAGGCGGCGAGUGAUAAAAUCCGUCGUCAAGAGGGGAACAACCCAGACUAACAGCUAAGGUCCCUAAAUCUCAUUUAAGUGGAAAACGAUGUGGAGUUACUGAAACAACCAGGAGGUUGGCUUAGAAGCAGCCAUCCUUUAAAGAAAGCGUAAUAGCUCACUGGUCUAGUGAUUCUGCGCGGAAAAUAUAACGGGGCUAAAAUGAGUACCGAAGCU
rnacentral:rRNA from 1 species